rnacentral:rRNA from 1 species
AUUGAACGCUGGCGGCGUGCCUUACACAUGCAAGUCGAACGGUAACGGGCCUUCGGGUGCCGACGAGUGGCGAACGGGUGAGUAAUGUAUCGGAACGUACCUUUCAGUGGGGGAUAACGUAGCGAAAGUUACGCUAAUACCGCAUAUUCUGUGAGCAGGAAAGCAGGGGAUCGCGAGACCUUGAGCUGAUUGAGCGGCCGAUAUCAGAUUAGCUAGUUGGUGAGGUAAAAGCUCACCAAGGCGACGAUCUGUAGCGGGUCUGAGAGGAUGAUCCGCCACACUGGAACUGAGACACGGUCCAGACUCCUACGGGAGGCAGCAGUGGGGAAUUUUGGACAAUGGGGGCAACCCUGAUCCAGCCAUGCCGCGUGAGUGAAGAAGGCCUUCGGGUUGUAAAGCUCUUUCGGCCGGGAAGAAAUCGUAUCAGCUAAUACCUGGUGCGGAUGACGGUACCGGCAUAAGAAGCACCGGCUAACUACGUGCCAGCAGCCGCCGUAAAAC